UACAGAGGUCCCGAGCGUUGUUCGGAUUCACUGGGCGUAAAGGGUGCGUAGGUGGUGAGGUAAGUCGGAUGUGAAAUCUCCGGGCUCAACCCGGAAAUGGCAUUGGAAACUACCUUGCUGGAGGAUUUGAGGGGGGAUUGGAAUACUUGGUGUAGCAGUGAAAUGCGUAGAUAUCAGGAGGAACACCGGUGGUGUAGACGGCUUUCUGGACAAUCACUGACGCUGAGGUACGAAAGCGUGGGUAGCAAACAGG
rnacentral:rRNA from 1 species